UCCAUUUGAAACACUUUGAUGCUUCGAAAUAUGCGAGAAACUUGUCUCCAGCUAGCCGAGCCAUUCUCUUGUCCGGCCCUGCCGAGCUUUACCAACAAAUGCUAGGCAAAGCCCUAGCUAAUUUCUUUGACGCCAAGUUACUUCUUCUAGACGUCAACGAUUUUGCACUCAAGAUACAGAGCAAAUACGGCAGCGGGAAUACAGAAUCAUCCGUAAGCGGUUUACUGAUUUGGUUUGCUAAUUGUGUCUUUGUGU